rnacentral:lncRNA from 1 species
AUUCAGUUAUUUUUCAUGUUUUGAUGUGCUUUCGUGUACUUUUCAGUAUUUCCAAGCUCACGAUAUUGUAAGAGCGACCAAACUUGUUUAUAUUCAUACUUUUUGUGACUAAAACGUAUUAUCAUGGGCUUGGAAAUAUUGAAACGUGCACGGAAGCACGUCAAAACAUGACAGUUGCGCCAAAAAUAGCUUAAGGCUUUUCAAUGUGACACGUCACAUGAGCGGUGAAACAUUUCAGUUUCCAACGGUAAACGCCCCGUUUCAAACGUAAACAAACGCGCGAAAAUGUUUGCGGUUUGUGCUUGGACGAAAAUGGCUGUAAGCCCAUAACACAAACAGACGUUUCAACCACAACAGUUGGCAUUCAGACAAGCGAGUGUCAUAAUUCUAUGCUUCAAUCCGAGUUUUAAUUUCUGGGUAAACCAUGUUCUGCUGACUUUUAUUGAUAGACAAACUAAUCUCCUUGCAAGGGCACAGACGUUUUCAAGUUACAAGCAUCAUAACACUGUUAAAGUGUUAAUUGGAAUUCAGUGAAGCUUGGGGAGAGAGGAAUUCAGAUAAGUUUCUGACUGAGAACUGUGGCUUACUGGACAACCUUAUACCAGGUGAUUUGGUUCUGGCGGAUAGCGGUUUCACUGUCCAUGAAAGUGUUCAGUUUCACCAAGCCAAAUUGAACAUUCCGGCAUUCACAAAAGGAAAAGACCAACUUGAUUCUGUUGAUGUGGAACAGACAAGAAAGAUUGCUACUGUCCGGAUACAUGUCGAAAGAAUUAUUGGUUUACUGAGACCGAAAUAUACCAUUCUUCAACAAACUUUGCCAACUGAAUGAACUGAUUAAUACCUUAUUUGCAGAAAAGGAGAAUCUGUUCCUCUCAUUGACAGAAUGAUUCCAGUUUGCUCUGCACUAUUAAACCUUUGCCCUCAUACUAUAUAUCUUUUGAUUGAAGUAAAAUAUUUUACAACAUUAUGUUUUCACCAAGACACACAUUCUUUCAACAUUUGAAAAUUUGGUGGUCAAGUCUGAGAACCUCCUCAUGGUGACCACUGGGCAACAGCAUGUUGUGUAAAUCAGGGGUGGAUUAGUAAGCUACUUUAAUUGUACUUCGUCAAAAAGAGACCCCUUUGCAGCUGCAAAGUAAAAAAUCUACCCCUGUUUGUUUCACGACAUGCUGGCUAAUCUCAGCAAUAUUUCAUGCUAUUCUCGUGGGGGCUUGUGAUAUGGGGAAUAAAUACGUCAUCACUGUUUCAACUAGGCCUGUUUGAAUACCAUGAGCAUUGAAACAAUGUAAAAACCAUGUCUGUUGGGACUGUAUUAUUGGUGGGGGUUAACUAAUUGAUUCGGCCACCCAAAGACUUGGGGUAGGCCAGGGCAGUAAACUAUUUUAGGGUCCCAUAGAUAUGAUUUGACAAAGCCAUAUUUUGUGUAAAGUGCUGAGAUUAGCCAAAAGGUUGUGCAAAAGUUUGCAAUCACACAGGGGUAGAUUAACACUUUAACAGACCAACAUAUGACAUUGUACAAAUAAUAUGCAAAAUAAAAUGUUGUCCAGUUAAACAAUAUACAUGUAGGGGUCCUGGUAUGCUAAUCCGCCCUGUGUUUACACAUGCUGUUGCCCAGUGGUCACCAAUGACUCACCAUGUGGAGGUUCUCAGUCUUGACCACCAAAAAUGUUUAAUGUUUAUCAAAGUCUUAAGUCUGUAAUAAUUUUCAAAUGCAAAAAGUUUGUAUCUUUGAUAGAGUUUUAUGUAUAAUAAUUUUAACAGUUACUAGUCAAUAAAAAUGCAAACUGAAUAUUGGUGUAAGCUUUUUUAUUUUGUGCUCUCAGCCGUCGGAAAAAGAGUAAUGAGACCAGCUUUCAGGCAAGCAU